AAUUGAAGAGUUUGAUCAUGGCUCAGAUUGAACGCUGGCGGCAGGCCUAACACAUGCAAGUCGAACGGUAACAGGAAGCAGCUUGCUGCUUCGCUGACGAGUGGCGGACGGGUGAGUAAUGUCUGGGAAACUGCCUGAUGGAGGGGGAUAACUACUGGAAACGGUAGCUAAUACCGCAUAACGUCGCAAGACCAAAGAGGGGGACCUUCGGGCCUCUUGCCAUCGGAUGUGCCCAGAUGGGAUUAGCUAGUAGGUGGGGUAACGGCUCACCUAGGCGACGAUCCCUAGCUGGUCUGAGAGGAUGACCAGCCACACUGGAACUGAGACACGGUCCAGACUCCUACGGGAGGCAGCAGUGGGGAAUAUUGCACAAUGGGCGCAAGCCUGAUGCAGCCAUGCCGCGUGUAUGAAGAAGGCCUUCGGGUUGUAAAGUACUUUCAGCGGGGAGGAAGGGAGUAAAGUUAAUACCUUUACUCAUUGACGUUACCCGCAGAAGAAGCACCGGCUAACUCCGUGCCAGCAGCCGCGGUAAUACGGAGGGUGCAAGCGUUAAUCGGAAUUACUGGGCGUAAAGCGCACGCAGGCGGUUUGUUAAGUCAGAUGUGAAAUCCCCGGGCUCAACCUGGGAACUGCAUCUGAUACUGGCAAGCUUGAGUCUCGUAGAGGGGGGUAGAAUUCCAGGUGUAGCGGUGAAAUGCGUAGAGAUCUGGAGGAAUACCGGUGGCGAAGGCGGCCCCCUGGACGAAGACUGACGCUCAGGUGCGAAAGCGUGGGGAGCAAACAGGAUUAGAUACCCUGGUAGUCCACGCCGUAAACGAUGUCGACUUGGAGGUUGUGCCCUUGAGGCGUGGCUUCCGGAGCUAACGCGUUAAGUCGACCGCCUGGGGAGUACGGCCGCAAGGUUAAAACUCAAAUGAAUUGACGGGGGCCCGCACAAGCGGUGGAGCAUGUGGUUUAAUUCGAUGCAACGCGAAGAACCUUACCUGGUCUUGACAUCCACGGAAGUUUUCAGAGAUGAGAAUGUGCCUUCGGGAACCGUGAGACAGGUGCUGCAUGGCUGUCGUCAGCUCGUGUUGUGAAAUGUUGGGUUAAGUCCCGCAACGAGCGCAACCCUUAUCCUUUGUUGCCAGCGGUCCGGCCGGGAACUCAAAGGAGACUGCCAGUGAUAAACUGGAGGAAGGUGGGGAUGAUGUCAAGUCAUCAUGGCCCUUACGACCAGGGCUACACACGUGCUACAAUGGCGCAUACAAAGAGAAGCGACCUCGCGAGAGCAAGCGGACCUCAUAAAGUGCGUCGUAGUCCGGAUUGGAGUCUGCAACUCGACUCCAUGAAGUCGGAAUCGCUAGUAAUCGUGGAUCAGAAUGCCACGGUGAAUACGUUCCCGGGCCUUGUACACACCGCCCGUCACACCAUGGGAGUGGGUUGCAAAAGAAGUAGGUAGCUUAACCUUCGGGAGGGCGCUUACCACUUUGUGAUUCAUGACUGGGGUGAAGUCGUAACAAGGUAACCGUAGGGGAACCUGCGGUUGGAUCACCUCCUUA
rnacentral:rRNA from 1 species